CAAUUGGUUUUAAUUCCUUAUAAUAUUGGGUAAUUAUCUAAAACUAUUUAUUUCAUGUGUUCAAAUGAUAAUAAACUUAUUAAGCUUAUACUUGUGACUUGUUCAAUUGUAGGUACCAUUGGAUAUUGUUAGUCAUUGAUCUAACAUUGAUGAUUGUGUACUUACUUGAUCCGAUUAAUUCUAAAAUAAACACAAGCUUUGAAAUUGUAAUAAAAACUGCUUUGAAAAUUUAUGAAACUACCCAAAGGAGGAGGAGGACCAAUCCAGUUUGGAAAGUAGUUCAGUCCCCGCAACAACCUACAAACGUGGAAUGUGGGUUUUAUGUAAUGCGGUAUAUGAAAGACCUCAUUAGAGAUCAAAGCAUCCUAAGAAAACAAAAUUUCAAUGGAAAAAAGACUUACACGGAAACCGAACUUGAUGAAGUGCGAGUUGAAUGGAUUAAUUUCGUACUAAAGAAUAUGAGUUGAAAUCCAAUGAGAUGAAGAGUCAGUGUGAUGAGAAAAUGUUCGAUUUCGUCUUUUGUCAGAAAUUUCUUG